rnacentral:rRNA from 1 species
CCUUUUCGGAGGUACUCGAGUGGCGAACGGGUGAGUAACACGUGGGUGAUCUGCCCUGCACUCUGGGAUAAGCCUGGGAAACUGGGUCUAAUACCGGAUAGGACCGCACUUUAGUGUGUGUGGUGGAAAGUUUUUUCGGUGUAGGAUGAGCCCGCGGCCUAUCAGCUUGUUGGUGGGGUAAUGGCCUACCAAGGCGGCGACGGGUAGCCGGACUGAGAGGUUGGUCGGCCACAUUGGGACUGAGAUACGGCCCAG